UUUUAUUAUUUUUAUAU
rnacentral:sRNA from 1 species